UAGAAGAAAAUAAAACAAAAUUAAUAAAAAAAAAAAAAAAAAAACAAAAGUCAAUAGAUAGUGGUGAAAAGUUCUUUUCGAACAUAAUCACAAAGAUCUGUUUGAAAUUUUUUUUAUUGAAUUUCCUGUACUAACUUGUGGUGAACAAAAUUAUAAAUUUUGCAAAAUAAUUAAAAGUGGUUUAUUAUCGGCGGUCCCAGAUUGUCAUAAAAGGGCUGGGCCGCCGCACCGUUAUAAAAAUUCAUUAUUUUUCAACCUUUUUUUUUU